CCUACGGGAGGCAGCAGUGAGGAAUAUUGGACAAUGGGCGCGAGCCUGAUCCAGCCAAGUAGCGUGAAGGAUGACUGCCCUACGGGUUGUAAACAUCUUUUAUAAAGGAAUAAAGUGAGGCACGUGUGCCUUUUUGUAUGUACUUUAUGAAUAAGAAUCGGCUAACUCCGUGCCAGCAGCCGCGGUAAUACGGAGGAUCCGAGCGUUAUCCGGUUUUAUUGGGUUUAAAGGGAUCGGAGAUGGGUUGUUAAGUCAGUUGUGAAAGUUUGGGGCUCAACCGUAAAAUUGCAAUUGAUACUGGCAGGCUUGAGUAUAGUAGAGGUAGGCGGAAUUCGUGGUGUAGCGGUGAAAUGCUUAGAUAUCACGAGGAACUCCGAUUGCGAAGGCAGCUUCCUAAACUGCCACUGACAUUGAUGCUCGAAAGUGUGGGUAUCAAACAGGAUUAGAUACCCGAGUAGUC
rnacentral:rRNA from 1 species